rnacentral:rRNA from 1 species
GACGAACGCUGGCGGCGUGCUUAACACAUGCAAGUCGAACGGAAAGGCCCUGCUUUUGUGGGGUGCUCGAGUGGCGAACGGGUGAGUAACACGUGAGUAACCUGCCCUUGACUUUGGGAUAACUUCAGGAAACUGGGGCUAAUACCGGAUAGGAGCUCCUGCGGCAUGGUGGGGGUUGGAAAGUUUCGGCGGUAGGGGCUGGACUCGCGGCUUAUCAGCUUGUUGGUUGGGUAGUGGCUUACCAAGGCUUUGACGGGUAGCCGGCCUGAGAGGGUGACCGGCCACAUUGGGCCUGAGAUACGGCCCAGACUCGUACGGGAGGCAGUAGUGGGGAAUCUUGCACAAUGGGGGGAAGCGUGAUGCAGCAACGCCGCGUGCGGGAUGACGGCCUUCGGGUUGUAAACCGCUUUCGACUGUGACGAAGCGUGAGUGACGGUACUGGGUAAAGAAGCACCGGCUAACUACGUG